CCAUCCCAUACAGAGAUGCCCAGGCCUCAGCCAGGGCAGGAAGUGUUCCUGGGACCAGGGCCCUCCUCCUUGACCACCCCACCCCCAACAAGGACACCUUAUGGGGGCAGGGCAAUAUGUGACCACUCAGACCCUGCCCUUGCACAAGGGCCCACGUAGGAGGAAGGAGACCCAGCGUGUCCCCCAGGUUCACCCACCGCAGCCCCAACCUACAGCCCGACCCACCCAAAGGAGGAAGAAAUAAGAAGCGCUGUCACUAGGAGCCAGAGUCACUCACACCACAGCUUCCAUCCUCCGUGAUCUGGUCUGCACAAGCACUCCAUCCCGCAGUUAGUCCAGCCCUGCAAACGGAGCCCAAGUCAGGACGGACCCAACCUGGCCUUUCAGGACCCGGCCUCUGCAGAUGAUGAAAUGGACGCUCAGUGAAGGUACAUGACUUGCCCAAAGGCAGGCGACGAAUGUUUGGACUGGCACUGAAAUGGAGGUCUUUUGACUUCAAGUCUAGACUUUUCCAUUCAACUUUAGGCCUCAAUUCCCUCACUUUCAAAAUGAAGAAAUGAAUUUUGAUGAUUUCUAAUGAAGUGCUGUCCAGUAGAAACAGAAUCCGUGCCCCAUAUGUAAUUUUACGUUUUCCAGUCUUCACUUUUUUUAAAAAGGAGAACGCAACAGG
rnacentral:lncRNA from 1 species